GACGAACGCUGGCGGCGUGCUUAACACAUGCAGGUCGAACGGAAAGGCCCUGCUUUUGUGGGGUGCUCGAGUGGCGAACGGGUGAGUAACACGUGAGUAACCUGCCCUUGACUUUGGGAUAACUUCAGGAAACUGGGGCUAAUACCGGAUAGGAGCUCCUGCUGCAUGGUGGGGGUUGGAAAGUUUCGGCGGUUGGGGAUGGACUCGCGGCUUAUCAGCUUGUUGGUGGGGUAGUGGCUUACCAAGGCUUUGACGGGUAGCCGGCCUGAGAGGGUGACCGGCCACAAUGGGACUGAGAGACGGCCCAGACUGCCACGGGAGGCAGCAGUGGAGAAUAUUGCACAGUGGGCGGAAGCCUGAUGCAGCAGCGCCGCGUGCGGGAUGACGGCCUUCGGGUUGUAAACCGCUUUCGCCUGUGACGAAGCGUGAGUGACGGUAAUGGGUAAAGAAGCACCGGCUAACUACGUG
rnacentral:rRNA from 1 species